rnacentral:misc_RNA from 1 species
GGAUGGUUGGUUGGUUUGCUUGGUUUUUGUAUGAUCAACUGCAUACAUUAUGGUGCCUGAAAUGAUCAACCUGUCAGCUGGGAAAAUGUCUGUUAACAGGCAAUUUGCUGGUUCUCUCUUCCUGCCCUUGCCUGAUAAUGUUCUUUCAACUCUCACAAAGUGGGGAGCCUCAUGUCCGCCUGGAAGUCCUUUUUAUCUUCUCAGUAUACAUUUUCAUUAGCCAGCUCAUCUCAUGUCAUCUACUUCAUCAUGUUUCUCAUCAGUGUUAAUCCUUAAUUAUUACCCACUUAGAUGAAUCUGUUAUUUUAUCAUAGCUCUUUUUGGUCAUAGGGCAUCAACUUUUGAUUUUCUUUGUUAAGAGGUUCUUUUACCUGAUUUUUUUCUUUUUG